rnacentral:rRNA from 1 species
GACGAACGCUGGCGGCGUGCUUAACACAUGCAAGUCGAACGGUGAAGCGCCUUCCUUUUUGGUGGGUGUGUAUGAGUGGCGAACGGGUGAGUAACACGUGAGUAACCUGCCCCCUUCUUCUGGAUAACCGCAUGAAAGUGUGGCUAAUACGGGAUAUUCUGGGUCUGUCGCAUGAUGGGUCUGGGAAAGAUAUUGUUUCGGUGGGGGAUGGGUUCGCGGCCUAUCAGCUUGUUGGUGGGGUGAUGGCCUACCAAGGCGACGACGGGUAGCCGGCCUGAGAGGGUGGACGGCCCGACUGGGGCUGAGACACGGCCCAGACUCCUACGGGAGGCAGCAGUGGGGAAUACUGCACAAUCGGAGCAAGGCUGAUGCAGCGACGCCGCGUGAGGGAUGGAGGCCUUCGGGUUGUGAACCUCUUUCGGCAGUGAAGCAGGCCUGCCUCGUUUGUGGGUGGGUUGACGGUAGCUGGAUAAGAAGCGCCGGCUAACUACGUG